AGAGUUUGAUCCUGGCUCAGAUUGAACGCUGGCGGCAGGCCUAACACAUGCAAGUCGAGCGGUAGCACAGAGAGCUUGCUCUCGGGUGACGAGCGGCGGACGGGUGAGUAAUGUCUGGGAAACUGCCUGAUGGAGGGGGAUAACUACUGGAAACGGUAGCUAAUACCGCAUAACGUCGCAAGACCAAAGAGGGGGACCUUCGGGCCUCUUGCCAUCAGAUGUGCCCAGAUGGGAUUAGCUAGUAGGUGGGGUAACGGCUCACCUAGGCGACGAUCCCUAGCUGGUCUGAGAGGAUGACCAGCCACACUGGAACUGAGACACGGUCCAGACUCCUACGGGAGGCAGCAGUGGGGAAUAUUGCACAAUGGGCGCAAGCCUGAUGCAGCCAUGCCGCGUGUAUGAAGAAGGCCUUCGGGUUGUAAAGUACUUUCAGCGGGGAGGAAGGCGAUAAGGUUAAUAACCUUGUCGAUUGACGUUACCCGCAGAAGAAGCACCGGCUAACUCCGUGCCAGCAGCCGCGGUAAUACGGAGGGUGCAAGCGUUAAUCGGAAUUACUGGGCGUAAAGCGCACGCAGGCGGUCUGUCAAGUCGGAUGUGAAAUCCCCGGGCUCAACCUGGGAACUGCAUUCGAAACUGGCAGGCUAGAGUCUUGUAGAGGGGGGUAGAAUUCCAGGUGUAGCGGUGAAAUGCGUAGAGAUCUGGAGGAAUACCGGUGGCGAAGGCGGCCCCCUGGACAAAGACUGACGCUCAGUGCGAAAGCGUGGGGGAGCAAACAGGAUUAGAUACCCUGGGUAGUCCAC
rnacentral:rRNA from 1 species